GGUGUUGCGCCGAAGAUGUCCGGGGCUAAAAUCUAUUACCGAAGUUGUGGGAUGUACGAAAGUACAUCGGUAGAGGAGCAUUCUGUGCAGGAAGAAGUUCCAUCGAAAGAGGAUAUGGACAGUACAGAAGAGAGAAUGUUGGCAUGAGUAGCGAAAGGUGAGUGAGAAUCUCACCCAUCGAAAGCCUAAGGAUUCCUGAGGAAGGCUCGUCCACUCAGGGUAAGUCGGGACCUAAGCCGAGGCGUAUUGCGUAGGCGAUGGACAACUGGUUGAAAUUCCAGUACCACCUUUAAGCGUUUGAGAAAUGGGGUAACACAGAAGGGUAGGCUAGCGCACUGAUGGAAUAGUGCGUCUAAGUAAGUAGGGAGACACCGGAGGCAAAUCCCCGGAGUCAAUCCUGAGAUACGAAUGGGAGCGAAAAGAAGUAGUGAAGUAGUUGAGCCCACGCUGUCAAGAAAAGCCUCUAUCGAGCAAGAAGGUGCCCGUACCGCAAACCGACACAGGUAGGCAAGGAGAGAAUCCAAAGAUGAGCGGAAGAACUAUUGUUAAGGAACUAGGCAAAAUGACCCCGUAACUUCGGGAGAAGGGGUGCCCAUUGGAGUGAAGUCUGAACAGAUGGAGCUUCGAAGGGUCACAGAAAACAGGCCCAAGCGACUGUUUACCAAAAACACAGGUCUCUGCUAAAUCGAAAGAUGAAGUAUAGGGGCUGACACCUGCCCGGUGCUGGAAGGUUAAGGGGAGAAGUCAUCGAAAGAGAAGCUUUGAACUUAAGCCCCAGUAAACGGCGGCCGUAACUAUAACGGUCCUAAGGUAGCGAAAUUCCUUGUCGGGUAAGUUCCGACCCGCACGAAAGGUGUAACGAUUUGGGCACUGUCUCAACAAUAGAUCCGGUGAAAUUGUAGUACUCGUGAAGAUGCGAGUUACCCGCGGCAGGACGGAAAGACCCCAUGGAGCUUUACUGCAGGCUGACAUUGGAAUUCGGUAGCAAUUGUACAGGAUAGGUGGGAGACAAAGAAGCAUGCACGCCAGUGUGUGUGGAGUCGACGUUGGGAUACCACUCUAUUGUUACUGAAUUUCUAACAUGAUACCGUAAUCCGGUAUAUGGACACUGUCAGUUGGGCAGUUUGACUGGGGCGGUCGCCUCCGAAAGAGUAACGGAGGCGCUCAAAGGUUCCCUCAGCACGGUCGGAAAUCGUGCGAAGAGUGUAAAGGCAGAAGGGAGCUUGACUGAGAGAGAGACAUCUCGAUCAGGAACGAAAGUUGGACUUAGUGAUCCGGUGGCACCGAGUGGAAAGGCCAUCGCUUAACGGAUAAAAGCUACCCUGGGGAUAACAGGCUUAUCUCCCCCAAGAGUCCACAU
rnacentral:rRNA from 1 species